AACCUGGUUGGGUGGUCUGCCUUCACGGUACGUACUGCCUGGCCGGGUUCUACCUCUUGGUGAGCCGGCAUGCCCUUCACUGGGUGUGUCGGGGAACCAGGACUUUUACCUUGAGAAAAUUAGAGUGUUCAAAGCAGGCCUUUGCCUGGAUACAUUAGCAUGGAAUAAUAAAAUAGGACAUGUGGUUCUAUUUUGUUGGUUUUUAGAGCCGCUGUA
rnacentral:rRNA from 1 species